UUGAGUCUACCACAACACUAGAGAACAUCUCUGGGUUCAAGGUUAUUCGACCUCUGAUCUGUAAUUGGACGCUGGGGACGGCAUCAGGUUUCAGGGUUGGCUCCAUGUCCCACUGAGGGUUCGUGAUGAUGCAACAUGUACUCAGCUGAUUAAGAUGCUAGCAGCCUUUCCGGUACCUGAUCAUAACUAACCAUGCAAAAGCAUGUCACGUUUGUCGAGCAGCUGGAAAUGGAAAACGUGUUAACAAAAGGCCGGGGUCACAUGUCGACGAGGUCUAUGGACCCCGAGAGAGGAGGUCUUGAAUCUCUUCCACGUCAUCUCGGGAGGGAAACACACGUCGAUAUGUCUGCAAGCAACCAGCGCAUGAAGACCUCACAUAUCCCCCAAACGUUGAUGUCUGUACCCUUCUUACAGGUAACCACAUCAUGCUGGAGCUUAGAUUUCUCUUUCCAUAUUUCAUUAUUAUGUGCCAGGUGACUGUGAGUCUGCAGAGUCUGAUCCCCUCAUUUAUUUUCCCUGUGUCAGCAUCCAGCUCUUA